AAAUGAAUAGACGGGGACCCGCACAAGCAGCGGAGCGUGUGGUUUAAUUCGAUGCUACACGAAGAACCUUACCAAGGUUUGACAUGCAAGUGGUAGUGAUCUGAAAAGUGAACGACCCUUCGGGGAGCUUGCACAGGUGCUGCAUGGCUGUCGUCAGCUCGUGUCGUGAGAUGUUCGGUUAAGUCCGCUAACGAGCGCAACCCUCACUGUGUGUUACAUGUGUCACACGGGACUGCCGGUUUUAAGCCGGAGGAAGGCGGGGAUGACGUCAAGUCAGCAUGGCCUUUAUAUCUUGGGCUACACACACGCUACAAUGGUCUGUACAAUAGGUUGCCAAGCCGCGAGGCGGAGCCAAUCCUAAAAGCAGGCCUCAGUUCAGAUUGCAGUCUGCAACCCGACUGCAUGAAGAUGGAGUUGCUAGUAACCGCAGGUCAGCUAUACUGCGGUGAAUACGUUCCCGGGUCUUGUACACACCGCCCGU
rnacentral:rRNA from 1 species